AGAACAUCCGUUAAUAAUUUAUUGAUUAUAGGUUGGCGUCCGGACUCGGAACGCGGUCCGCCUGUUAGUGACCUAUGCAGCACAGUGUCACAACACAUUGUUACAGCGCAGUGUCACAACACAUUGUUACAGUACAGCGUUAGAGCAGUGUUACAGCACAUUGUUACAGUACAGUGUUACAACACAGUAUUAGAGCAGUGUUACAGCACAUUGUUACAGCACAUUGUUACAACACACAGUGUUACAACACACAGUGUUACAACACACAGUGUUACAGCACAGUGUUACAACACAGUGUUACAACACAGUGUUACAGCACAGUGUUACAGCAGUUACAGCACAGUGUUACAGCACAGUGUUACAGUACAGUGUUACAACACAGUGUUACAACAUAUUGUUAGAGUACAGUGUUACAACACAGUGUUACAGCACAGUGUUACAGUACAGUUUUACAGUACAGUGUUACAGCACAUUGUUAGAGUACAGUGUUACAACACAGUGUUACAACACAGUGUUACAGCAGUGUUACAACACAUUGUUAGAGUACAGUGUUACAACACAGUGUUACAGUACAGUGUUACAACACAGUGUUACAACAUAUUGUUAGAGUACAGUGUUACAGUACAGUGUUACAGUACAGUGUUACAACACAGUGUUACAACACAGUGUUACAGCAGUGUUACAGUACAGUGUCACAGCACAUUGUUAGAGUACAGUGUUACAGCACAGUGUUACAGCAGUGUUACAGUACAGUGUUACAGCAGUGUUACAGUACAGUGUUACAACACAGUGUUACAACACAGUGUUACAGCACAGUGUUACAGCAGUGUUACAGUACAGUGUCACAGCACAUUGUUAGAGUACAGUGUUACAACACAGUGUUACAGUACAGUGUUACAACACAUUGUUAGAGUACAGUGUUACAACACAGUGUUACAGCAGUGUUACAGUACAGUGUCACAGCACAUUGUUAGAGUACAGUGUUACAACACAGUGUUACAGCACAGUGUUACAGCAGUGUUAGAGUACAGUGUUACAGCAGUGUUACAGUACAGUGUUAGAGUACAGUGUUACAGCACAGUGUUAGAGCACAGUGUUACAACAGUGUUACAGGGCUGUCAAGCGAUUAAAAAAAUGAGUCUAAUUUAUUACAAGCUUUAG
rnacentral:lncRNA from 1 species